GGACUACCCGGGUAUCUAAUCCUGUUUGCUCCCCACGCUUUCGUGCCUCAGCGUCAGUAUCGGUCCAGAGAGCCGCCUUCGCCACCGGUGUUCUUCCCAAUAUCUACGAAUUUCACCUCUACACUGGAAUUCCACUCUCCUCUCCCGAACUCAAGCCAAAGAGUAUCAAGCGCAAUUCCCAGGUUGAGCCCGGGGAUUUCACGCCUGACUGCUUCGGCCGCCUACGCGCCCUUUACGCCCAGUAAUUCCGAACAACGCUAGCCCCCUUCGUAUUACCGCGGCUGCUGGAC
rnacentral:rRNA from 1 species